CAGCAGCCGCGGUAAAACGUAGGGUGCGAGCGUUGUCCGGAAUUAUUGGGCGCAAAGAGCUCGUAGGCGGCUUGUCGCGUCGAAUGUGAAAGCCCGGGGCUUAACUCCGGGUCUGCAUUCGAUACGGGCAGGCUAGAGUGUGGUAGGGGAGAUCGGAAUUCCUGGUGUAGCGGUGAAAUGCGCAGAUACCAGGAGGAACACCGGUGGCGAAGGCGGAUCUCUGGGCCAUUACUGACGCUGAGGAGCGAAAGCGUGGGGAGCGAACAGGAUUAGAUACCCGCGUAGUCCCUGUCUCUUAUAC
rnacentral:rRNA from 1 species